GAUGAAGAACGUAGCGAAAUGCGAUAAGUAAUGUGAAUUGCAGAAUUCAGUGAAUCAUCGAAUCUUUGAACGCACCUUGCGCCCUUUGGCUAUUCUGAAGGGCAUGCCUGUUUGAGUAUCAUGAACACCUCAACUCUCAUGGUUCGCCAUGAUGAGCUUGGACUUUGGGGGUCUUGCUGGCCUACGGUCGGCUCCUCUCAAAUGAAUCAGCUUGCCAGUGUUUGGUAGAGUCGCAGGUGUGAUAACUAUCUACGCUUGUGGUUUUCUGCCAGAUAACCUUCAGUGAUGGCGGUUCGCUGGAGCUUAUAAAUGUCUCUCCCCAGUGAGGACAGCUUUUUGAACGUUUGAUCUCAAAUCAGGUAGGACUACCCGCUGAACUUAAGCAUAUCAAUAAGCGGAGGA
rnacentral:misc_RNA from 1 species